UUUUGCUUAUGUUUGGGAACAAUUACAGGCAGGUAGGGUGAGAUUUAAUAGCAGCAAUUUCAGCCAGGGGAAAAAUAAAAUACUAAAAACUAGGCUGAGAAUUGGUAACUAGCAUGGUGAGUAAUGAGAAUUUAGUAAACAGACAAUAUGGUUACCAGAACCACCACAGCUUAUUGUAGUGGUUCUGGAGUCUAUAAUAUGUCCCUGCAGGCUUUUCAUUAGUUAUGGGAAAGUGGAG